ACAACAAUACCCACAUUCACAAAAGCAAACAUACCCGACCCAGCCCUGGUCUUCUUCUUCCUCACGAAACCAGAUGACCCCAUCUCGUCCAAAAUCAGACGCAAGACGAAAUACUAGCGGAAAUACCGGUGCAAACCCGGAAAUCUCGCCCAACUACCCUGCAAAACCCAUAGCCUAGCAGUCUCAACGUCAACCCCUCACGUACCCUUUUCCCCCUUUUCAGGGAUUUUCAAAUCUCUUCACUGGUGGCCUUGGAAAAAGGGAAUCCGGAUUUCAAAUUCAAAAUGAUACCCGAUUUGCCCCCCAAAAUCAGUCCACCUUCAUCUAAUUAAGAUCGUUUAUCUCUUUGUGUUUGAGAGAGGUAAGUCGGGGGAUUUUUUUCCUUAAUUUUGAUUGAUGAAUAUAGUAUCAAAAACCAUAAAGCUAGGUCCAGAUUUUUGGAAUUUCUCUUCAUCUCAUCUGAAGCUUUUAGCGGAGUUCAUUAGAAUUCUCGAUGUUCAUCUCUUGUUUGGUGUGGAAUUUGAUUCAUAGUUAAGUUCGUCUGGUCUCAUUUUGCUGCUCCGGUAAUGUUCGCCAUGAACUCCUAUCUCCUAUCCUUGCCGCUUGAGUUGUGUCGAAACUGAAUAUCUCUCCAAUAUCGAGUCAGCCAAGUAAUGAAACGGGCUGAAGGCAGUGAAUAUGGGCUGAAAUUAAAGUAGCAGGCCCCAAAAAAAGCCCAAGUAAGGGUUGCAUACCCGUUGUAUACAGCAGUAUACACUUGUUAUAUGGUGAUAUACAGAAAUACAGGUCGGAGGCUGUGGUCCAGGCGCUGAAAGGUUGAGGUAGACUGUAUGCAGUUGCUAUACAAUUUGACUUACAGAAAAAUGGGUUAAGUUACGACCUGUAUAAUAGUGUUCAAAGCCCAAUACAAUUGCAGCAGUAGCCCAAUUAGUUGGGCAGUGACUAGUGAGGGUUUGGGGCCAAGAAUAGCCCAAACUCAUUAAUUUCUCUUCUUUCAUUGCUUGAUUAUUUUACGGGGAAAAAACACAAGUAUACACUUUUUUUAUAAAUAAUUACAUAUAUAUAUAUAUAGCCGUAUUCGGUGAAUAACAAUUAUGACAUAUUUAAUAUUUACUUC